rnacentral:sRNA from 1 species
GUUUGCACUUGUCGGGGAAGGGUGAGAACCUUCGAUUAAGGUUCGACUUGAGCGAAAGCGAGAGAACGUUGCCAACGGCAACGGCCCGUAGGGUGA